rnacentral:tRNA from 1 species
CGCUGGGGUGGAGCAGCCCGGUAGCUCGUCAGGCUCAUAACCUGAAGGCCGCAGGUUCAAAUCCUGCCCCCGCAACCA